rnacentral:tRNA from 1 species
CUUUAGCUCAAUUGGAUAGAGCAUCUGACUACGGAUCAGAAGGUUGGGGGUUCGACUCCCUCAAGG